rnacentral:rRNA from 1 species
GACGAACGCUGGCGGCGUGCCUUAUACAUGCAAGUAGAACGCUGACGGAGGAUCUUGCUCUUCUGGAUGAGUUGCGAACGGGAGAAUAACGCCUAAGCAACCUGCCUGGUGGCGGAUGAUAACUAUAGGAAACGAUUACUACUACCUCCUACCACUAGUUGUUGCCUGACAACUGUUUGAACUGUGCACUUGCAUCACUACCAUAUGGAACUGCCUUGUAUUAGCUAGUUGGGGGGACAACGGCUCACAUCUGCGACUAUACUUAGACGACCUGAGAGGGUGAUCGGACUCACUGGGACUGAGACAUCGUCCAGACUCCUACGGGAGGCAACUUUAGAGAAUCUUCGGCAAUGUGACUGAAGUCUGACCGAGCGACGCCGCGUGACUGAAGAAUGUUUUCGGAUCUUAGAGCUCUGUUGUAAGACAAGAGCGAGUGUGAGAGUGGAAAGAUCACACUGUGACAGUAUCUUACCACAAAGGGACUGCUAACUACCUGCCAACAGCCGCGGUAGUACGUAUGUCCCGAGCGUUGUCCGGAUUUAUUGUGCGUAAAGCGAGCUCAGGCAGCUAGAUAAGUCUGAAGUUAAAGGCUGUGGCUCUAGCCAUAGUACCCUUUGGAAACUGUUUAACUUGAGUGCAAUAGGGUACAGUGUAAUUCCAUGUGUAGCGGAGAUAUGCGUAGAUAUAUGGAGGAACGCCCGUGGCGAAAGCGGCUCUCGUGCUUGUAUCUCACGCUGAGGCUAGCAAGCGUAGCGAGCAAGCAGGACUAGAUACGAUGGUAGUUCACUCCGUAACCGAUGAGAGGUAGGUGUUAGAUCCUUUCCGAGGUUCAGUGCUGUAGCUAACGCAUUAAGCACUCGGCCUGGGGAGUACGACCGCAACGUGGAUACUCAUCGGAAUAGUCGGGGGCCCGCACAACCGGUGGAGCAUGAGGUGUAAUUAGAAGCAACGCGAAGAACCUCCUCAGGUCCUGACAUCCCUUUGACCGUUCUAGAGAUAGAGCUGUCUUUCGGGACAGAGGCCACAGCUCGUGCAUGGCAGUCGUCAGCUCAUGUCGUGUGAUGAGAGGUUAAGUCCCGCAACGAGCGCAGCCCAUACUGUUACUUGCCAUCAUUCACAAGGGCACUCUAGCGAGACUGCCGGUAACAAACCGGAGGAAGGUGGGGAUGACGUCAAAUCAUCAUGCCCCUUAUGACUUGGGCUACACACGUCAUACAAUGGUUGGUACAGCGAGUCGCCAACCGGCGACGGCAAGCCAAUCUCUCAAAGCCAGUCUCAGUUCGGAUUGCAGUCUGCAACUCGCCUACAUGAAGUCGGAAUCGCUAGUAAUCGCGGAUCAGCACGCCGCGGUGAAUACGUUCCCGGGCCU